AUGAGUGUAAUUAAACAAUAAUGCUAGAUCGUGACUCUAAAAUUGAAAGUUAAAAUCCUUCUGCUCAUC
rnacentral:tRNA from 1 species